GACGAACCGUGCGAACGUUGUUCGGAAUCACUGGGCUUAAAGGGCGCGUAGGCGGGUAUUCAAGUCAGGGGUGAAAUCCUCCAGCUUAACUGGAGAACUGCCUUUGAUACUGGAUGUCUCGAGUGAGGUAGGGGCGUGCGGAACUGAUGGUGGAGCGGUGAAAUGUGUUGAUAUCAUCAGGAACUCCGGUGGCGAAAGCGGCGCGCUGGACCUUUACUGACGCUGAUGCGCGAAAGCCAGGGGAGCAAACGGG
rnacentral:rRNA from 1 species